rnacentral:rRNA from 1 species
CCUACGGGAGGCAGCAGUGGGGAAUCUUGCGCAAUGGGCGAAAGCCUGACGCAGCCAUGCCGCGUGAAUGAUGAAGGUCUUAGGAUUGUAAAAUUCUUUCACCGGGGACGAUAAUGACGGUACCCGGAGAAGAAGCCCCGGCUAACUUCGUGCCAGCAGCCGCGGUAAUACGAAGGGGGCUAGCGUUGCUCGGAAUUACUGGGCGUAAAGGGAGCGUAGGCGGAUAGUUUAGUCAGAGGUGAAAGCCCAGGGCUCAACCUUGGAAUUGCCCUUGAUACUGGCUAUCUUGAGUACGGAAGAGGUAUGUGGAACUCCGAGUGUAGAGGUGAAAUUCGUAGAUAUUCGGAAGAACACCAGUGGCGAAGGCGACAUACUGGUCCGUUACUGACGCUGAGGCUCGAAAGCGUGGGGAGCAAACAGGAUUAGAUACCCUGGUAGUCCACGCUGUAAACGAUGAGUGCUAGUUGUCGGCAUGCAUGCAUGUCGGUGACGCAGCUAACGCAUUAAGCACUCCGCCUGGGGAGUACGGUCGCAAGAUUAAAACUCAAAAUGAAUUGACGG